rnacentral:misc_RNA from 1 species
AAGUCGUAACAAGGUUUCCGUAGGUGAACCUGCGGAAGGAUCAUUAACGAAUUAUUAUUAUGGCGUUAGCCAUAUGUAUACUCGGGCUCUUUCGCGGAGCGAUUAGCGGAGCAAUUUGCUGAUUGUGAAGCGGAGCGCCACGAGACAUUUACGCUUGAACCGUUUGAAUGAGUAAAAAGAAAUUUAAAUUACACAACUUUUAACAAUGGAUCUCUUGGCUCUU